CAUGGGACGGACGGAGGCCGAGAGGCACUGCGGGAGGGCAGUGGGGCCAGGCCGGAGACAGCAGCACUUCGCGGACAGCUAGUCCUCAUCCUGCCGGGUCGGUCGCGGGCCUACAGGCAUCCCCUGAGCACCUGCUGCGUGAGUUGGACCGUGCAGAGCAGCGGGGACCGGCAAGCCCGAAGGUGGAGGCUACGUUAGACUCCGGCUUUCAUCACACGAUGGCACCCACUGUAGAAGGAGGUGACGCAGCUCUGCUCCCAGAAUUCCCCAGGGGACCCCUGGACGCCUACCGGGCAAGAGCGUCGUUCAGCUGGAAGGAGCUGGCGCUGUUCACGGAAGGGGAGGACAUGCUCCGCUUUAAGAAAACCAUCUUCUCAGCUCUUGAGAACGACCCUCUUUUUGCCCGUUCCCCUGGAGCCGAUCUGUCCUUGGAGAAGUAUCGUGAGCUGAACUUCCUUCGAUGCAAGCGGAUCUUCGAGUAUGACUUCCUCAGUGUCGAAGACAUGUUCAAGAGCCCUCUGAAGGUCCCCGCCUUGAUUCAGUGCCUGGGGAUGUAUGACUGUUCUCUGGCUGUCAAGUACCUCCUCCAUACCUUGGUUUUUGGAUCAGCAGUUUACAGUUCUGGUUCUGAAAGACAUCUCAGCUAUAUUCAAAAGAUCUUCAGUAUGGAGAUUUUUGGAUGUUUUGCUCUGACCGAAUUAAGCCACGGCAGUAAUACCAAGGCCAUUCGUACGACUGCCCACUACGAUCCUGCCACUAAGGAAUUCAUCAUACAUUCCCCUGAUUUCGAAGCUGCCAAAUUUUGGGUUGGCAACAUGGGCAAGACAGCCACUCACGCAGUGGUGUUCGCCAAGCUGCAUGUGCCGGGGGACCAGUGCCAUGGGCUGCAUCCCUUUAUCGUGCAGAUCCGGGACCCGAAGACCCUUCUUCCCAUGCCUGGAGUGAUGGUCGGCGACAUGGGGAAGAAACUCGGGCAGAACGGUCUGGAUAACGGUUUCGCCAUGUUCCACAAGGUCAGAGUUCCUCGCCAGAGCCUCCUGAACCGGAUGGGAGACGUCACCCCCGAGGGCACCUAUGUCAGCCCCUUUAAGGACGUCAGGCAGCGCUUCGGAGUGUCCCUGGGGGGCCUGUCCUCGGGCCGGGUCUCCAUCCUGAGCCUGGCCGUCGUUAACCUAAAGCUGGCCAUGGCCAUCGCUCUUCGCUUCUCAGCCACUCGACGUCAGUUUGGACCCACCGAGGAGGAGGAAAUAGCAGUGCUUGAGUAUCCAAUGCAGCAAUUCCGCUUGCUUCCAUAUCUGGCAGCUGCCUACGCCUUAGACCACUUCUCCAAGUCACUCUUCCUGGACCUGGUGGAGCUCCAGCGAGGACUUGCCUCGGGAGACCGCAGCGCCAGACAGGCAGAGCUUGGACGAGAGAUCCACGCUCUGGCAUCAGCCGGCAAGCCCCUGGCCUCGUGGACUGCCCAGCAAGGAAUUCAGGAAUGCCGGGAGGCGUGUGGAGGACACGGCUAUCUAGCCAUGAACCGGUUGGGUGUCCUUAGAGAUGACAACGAUCCCAACUGCACAUACGAAGGUGACAACAACGUCCUGCUGCAGCAGACAAGCAACUAUUUGCUGGGCCUCCUGGCACACCGGGUCCAGGAUGGAGCUUGCUUCCGCAGUCCGCUGAAGUCGGUGGACUUUCUGGACGCCUAUCCCAGCAUCCUUGACCAGAAGUUUGAGGUCUCCAGUGUUGCCGACUGCUUGGACUCCGCAGUCGCCCUGGCAGCAUACAAGUGGCUGGUUUGCUACCUGCUCCGAGAGACUUAUCAAAAAUUAAACCAAGAGAAAAGAUCAGGAAGCAGUGACUUUGAAGCAAGGAAUAAUUGCCAGGUGUCCCACGGCCGUCCCUUGGCGCUGGCCUUCCUGGAGCUCACCGUGGUGCAGAGGUUCCACGAGCACGUGCACCAGCCCUGCGUGCCGCCCUCGCUGCGGGCCGUGCUGGGGCGGCUCAGUGCUCUGUACGCCCUGUGGUCCCUGAGCCGCCACGCGGCCCUGCUCUACCGAGGAAGUCUUUUUAGGUGGUUCUUCCCAAUGGCUGGCACCCGUGCAUCUUUGGUACUAGGAUAUACCGCGUAUCCAUUCAUGUCCUGCGUCUCUGGGCUUGUGAAGAAUAAGAAUAAGAUCCUCCCCACCCCAAGAGCCAGCGUUUACCCCCUGGAUGGUGGUGCUGACCUUAUGAAGGCCUUGACAGUGCUCAGGUGCACCAAGGAAGGGACACGAGUGUCUGCCAGAGAGGGCGGGCACAGGGCAGGAGCCCCACUGCUGCCUGAGAAAAACCCUAAGUGGCGGAUACUUCUCUGGUGAGCAGGCAGGAGAAGUGUUGGAGAGCGCCGUCCUGGCCCUGUGUUCCCAGCUGAAAGACGACGCAGUUGCCCUGGUAGACGUGAUCGCUCCUCCUGACUUUGUUCUGGACUCACCAAUUGGCAGAGCCGACGGCGAGCUCUACAAAAACCUCUGGGGCGCUGUCCUGCAGGAAAGCAAGGUGUUGGAGCGGGCGUCCUGGUGGCCAGAGUUUUCGGUGAACAAACCUGUCAUAGGAAGUCUGAAAUCAAAGCUGUAGUGGUGCCGGCACACAUUCAGCCAAGUCUAAUGAAACGAAGGGAACUAAUCAGACGUGGACCUCAACUUCUGAUUCCAGAACACGCUGGAGAUUGCUGCUGCCUUCUGAGCCCGCACCUCUGCGCUUAAACUGCUGAUUGACCUCACCGCCCAGGUGGACGGGAGGGAGGCGCCCAGCCGGCUGGGCUAAUCUGGGAUUGUGGUGAUUUGCAGCGUGGAAAAGAAAUGCACGUGAUCAUGUCUGCCUGACGCGCCGUGGGUUUUUUGAUCAUUAGAAUUUCGCACAUUCAGGUUUCAGGGUUCAGCUCCUGACUCUAAAGUAGACAGCCCAUAGUCAGGGGUUUUCUGGUCAGACAACCUGUGAUUUGUCUAGAUUUUUUACAGAGCUCCACUUCAUUAAGAAGUCAGUGGUGCCAGUCUGGUUCUUUGUCAGCUCUCCCUCGGCUUUGUCACCUAAUCAAAUUAUGUUACAACCUUAUUAAUUUGCACAUAGAUCAUCUGAAUGUCAUGGUUUAAGACUUAAGGAGGAACAUCUAUUUGAUUACUUUCUUUUGUGGAGCUGGAAAUGUCCGUCGAGGAAAUGUUUUUUUAAAAAGUAAUGAUUUGAGUGGGCAAUUCAGUCUCCAACCCCCGCCCCCCUACCAGUUAUAUACAAAUCGCUUUAUUCGUAACAUGUUUGAUCUGUUUGUUCCUGCAGAGUCCGCCCAGCAGGUCCUUGCACACAUGUGGCCUGUCCCCGUGGCGCUGGCCACAGCCUGAUUGCAGCAGACCGGGGCCAUCGGUGCACGCCUCCCCCGGUCACUCCUGCUCCCCGCAGGGCUGUGGGCUUGGCUGCCCUACCCAGUGUUAGGUUCCCAGAGCAGUGCCGUCUUGGCGUCUGGGUCCUGCUUCUUAACCUCUCAUCAGCUCAGGGCACAGAAGGGCUUUGUCAUCAGUAGCAGGGAGUCGGGUCACUCUGGUGCCCCCUGACCCCUGUGGCCAUGCUCUUGUCACCACAGUUCAUCAAACAGAUGUGACCCAGUGUGUCUCAGUACAGUGCUGAACCAACCAGGACCAGUUCUUAUUUUUCUGAGUAGCCCAGAGAACUUUUGAGCGUCUGAAGGGCAUGGUCCAGAAUGGUUUUUAAAACUGAAUUUCCAGUACCGGAAACCACUUCUCAAGCUCAUUUUCAUGUUUCGAAAAGGGGCAGGACACCCCACCACCACAUCCCACCCCUUUGGGGCUCCAGGGGCUUCUGAGGGGUAAUUAGUGGCUUCUUUGAUGAGCACCUACCGCCUGCCAGCGCCUUGCUGAGCACUCAGGAUUCAUCAUCUUAUGGGACCCUCAGCCAACCGUGUGGGGUGAGUUGUGCCGUUAGCUGUGUCUGCAGAAGAGGAGACCGGCCCCAACAGGCUGGACACUGCCGCAGGCAGACAGCAGGAGGUGGCCGAGUGGGAUCAGAAGCCAUGGGACCUCCCUGGUGCCUGAGGGCCCCAGCACAGGGCUCAGACGCAAUAGGUAGGCUGAGACGCUGGUGUCCGUCAUCAGUUGAACCCAGGAGAACCCCCACCUGAAUUCAUCUUGCUCUGGUUUAGAAGCUUCCUUGGGUUUAAACAAACUCUUCAUGGUUUAA